ACGAACGCUGGCGGCGUGCUUAACACAUGCAAGUCGAACGGAAAGGCCCUGCUUUUGUGGGGUGCUCGAGUGGCGAACGGGUGAGUAACACGUGAGUAACCUGCCCUUGACUUUGGGAUAACUUCAGGAAACUGGGGCUAAUACCGGAUAGGAGCUCCUGCUGCAUGGUGGGGGUUGGAAAGUUUCGGCGGUUGGGGAUGGACUCGCGGCUUAUCAGCUUGUUAGUGGGGUAGUGGCUUACCAAGGCUUUGACGGGUAGCCGGCCUGAGAGGGUGACCGGCCACAUUGGGACUGAGAUACGGCCCAGACUCCUACGGGAGGCAGCAGUGGGGAAUAUUGCACAAUGGGCGGAAGCCUGAUGCAGCAACGCCGCGUGCGGGAUGACGGCCUUCGGGUUGUAAACCGCUUUCGCCUGUGACGAAGCGUGAGUGACGGUAAUGGGUAAAGAAGCACCGGCUAACUACGUG
rnacentral:rRNA from 1 species